rnacentral:rRNA from 1 species
GACGAACGCUGGCGGCGUGCUUAACACAUGCAAGUCGAACGGAAAGGCCCUGCUUGCAGGGUACUCGAGUGGCGAACGGGUGAGUAACACGUGGGUGAUCUGCCCUGCACUUCGGGAUAAGCCUGGGAAACUGGGUCUAAUACCGGAUAGGAGCCAUUUUUAGUGUGAUGGUUGGAAAGUUUUUUUGGUGUAGGAUGAGCUCGCGGCCUAUCAGCUUGUUGGUGGGGUAAUGGCCUACCAAGGCGGCGACGGGUAGCCGGCCUGAGAGGGUGGACGGCCACAUUGGGACUGAGAUACGGCCCAGACUCCUACGGGAGGCAGCAGUGGGGAAUAUUGCACAAUGGGCGCAAGCCUGAUGCAGCGACGCCGCGUGGGGGAUGACGGCCUUCGGGUUGUAAACUCCUUUCGCUAGGGACGAAGCUUUUGUGACGGUACCUAGAUAAGAAGCACCGGCUAACUACGUGCCAGCAGCCGCGGUAAGAC